rnacentral:tRNA from 1 species
GGGCGAUUAGCUCAGCGGUAGAGCACCUGCCUUACAAGCAGGCUGUCCACAGUUCGAUCCUGUGAUCGCCCAUCA